rfam:Salmo salar isolate Sally breed double haploid chromosome ssa18, whole genome shotgun sequence.
UAUGCACUCUACUGUAAGUCGCUCUAGAUAAGAGUGUCUGCUAAAUGACUAAAA